rnacentral:rRNA from 1 species
GUGAGGUAACGGCUCACCAAGGCGAUGACGGGUAGCUGGUCUUAGCGGAUGAUCAGCCACACGGGGACUGAGACACGACCCCGACUCCUACGGGAGGCAGCAGUGGGGAAUUUUGGACAAUGGGCGAAAGCCUGAUCCAGCGACGCCGCGUGCGGGAGGAAGCCCUUCGGGGUGUAAACCGUUGUCAGGGGGGAAGAACGGGUUCGGGAUAAUACCCCGGAUCGCUGACGGUACCUCCAGAGGAAGCGCCGGCUAACUCCGUGCCAGCAGCCGCGGUAGUACGGAGGGCGCAAGCGUUGUCCGGAAUUACUGGGCGUAAAGGGGGCGCAGGCGGCUUGUUAAGUCCUGUGUGAAAGCCCGCGGCUCAACCGCGGAAAGCCACAGGAUACUGGCGAGCUAGAGACGGGUAGAGGCGAGUGGAAUUCCCGGUGUAGCGGUGGAAUGCGUAGAUAUCGGGAAGAACACCAGUGGCGAAGGCGACUCGCUGGGCCCGUUCUGACGCUCAGGCCCGAAAGCGUGGGGAGCAAACAGGAUUAGAUACCCUGGUAGUCCACGCCGUAAACGAUGGGCACUAGGUGCUGGGAAGUGUGAUCUUUUCGGUGCCGUAGCUAACGCGUUAAGUG